CCUACGGGGGGCUGCAGUGGGGAAUAUUGGACAAUGGGCGCAAGCCUGAUCCAGCAAUUCCGCGUGGGUGAAGAAGGUCUUCGGAUUGUAAAGCCCUUUCGGCAGGGACGAUGAUGACGGUACCUGCAGAAGAAGCCCCGGCUAACUUCGUGCCAGCAGCCGCGGUAAUACGAAGGGGGCUAGCGUUGCUCGGAAUGACUGGGCGUAAAGGGCGCGUAGGCGGUUUAGACAGUCAGGCGUGAAAUUCCUGGGCUUAACCUGGGGGCUGCGUUUGA
rnacentral:rRNA from 1 species